GUGCCUCAAACUAAUGAGUAAGGAAAACCAAACUGGCCUUGCUAACCGCUUGGCAGUAUUUGGCUUCUAGGCAGAGGGGCGUUUUUCGUCCCUUGAAGCUCAAUUUUUGCAAGGGCACAGGUCGUCCCCUCCUUUUCCGAGUGGGUGGCGUCCGGAUGAGCGAACCGGCACCUACUUUUGUGUCCGGCAAGUGAGGCUGGAUGCCCUCC